AUAUAUAUAUAUAUAUAUAUAUAUACCUAUAUAUAAAUGCAGCCAAGCAGUUUUAUUCCGUGGAUGUCAAGCAAGCAAACAGGCACCGACACACCCUGGUGAAGGUCCAGGACUCCGCCGGAGCAGCGGGCGAGGCAGCCCGAACUCCGCCGGCCCGUCCGGAUGGGUUGGCCGAGCAGGAGCGACCCGGCCGGUGGUCAAGGAAUGUGAUGAACCUAAAGCAGCCGAAAAGGAAGGAGAAGGAGUCGCCAUUUGGGCCUCUGAAAGCCGGCCGUUUGUCUCUCCAGGCUGUCUGGUUUCGAAAUCUCUCACGCUCUCUGGCUGAUUCCCAGAGCUCCCUCACACUUGGCUCCAAAUGGCUGACACACAGCAGUUCUUCACUGGCAAGCUUUAUGUUCCUAUACACAUGCUAAAGCUGCCAGCUGAAGAACUGCUCUGGUCAGCCCUGCCCCGGAUGAGUCCAGAAGAGGAAGCGGAUGGGGGUUGUUGAGAAGAAGACUGAGGAAGGAGGUGUUUCUCACGCUCAGACCGGCCAGAUUUGAGCCAGCGGUGUUUAUAAACACAUGUAAGGUGUAUCUGAUUAAAGGCAAUAGAGAAUGUUUAUUUUGUGUUCUUUUUCUUAAAAAUACCCUGCUUACGCUAUAUGAUGUUUUGGGUCUUACAAUGAAGAACAAAAUAUUUCUCUGACUUUUGUGUUUUUUUUUGUUGUGGACAAAACUGCACAGUGUGAACAAUAAAACUCUCACCAGCACUGAAGGCUCUCUUUUCCAAAAAUAGCAAAACACACACACACACACACACACACACACACACACACACACACACACACACACACACACACACACACACACACACACACACACACACACACA